AGAGUUUGAUCAUGGCUCAGAAUCAACGCUGGCGGCGUGCCUAACACAUGCAAGUCGCACGAGAAAGUGGAGCAAUCCAUGAGUAAAGUGGCGCACGGGUGAGUAACACGUGAAUGAUCUACCUCCGAGUGGGGAAUAACUGAGAGAAAUCUUAGCUAAUACCGCAUAACACUUACGAGUCAAAGCAGCAAUGCGCUUGGAGAGGAGUUCGCGGCCGAUUAGUUAGUUGGCGGGGUAGUGGCCCACCAAGACGAUGAUCGGUAUCCGGCCUGAGAGGGCGCACGGACACACUGGAACUGAAACACGGUCCAGACUCCUACGGGAGGCAGCAGUGGGGAAUUUUGCGCAAUGGGGGAAACCCUGACGCAGCAACGCCGCGUGGAGGAUGAAAUAUCUUGGUAUGUAAACUCCUUUCGAUGGGGAAGAUUAUGACGGUACCCAUAGAAGAAGCCCCGGCUAACUUCGUGCCAGCAGCCGCGGUAAUACGAGGGGGGCAAGCGUUGUUCGGAAUUAUUGGGCGUAAAGGGUGCGUAGGCGGUUUGGCAAGUCUUAUGUGAAAUCUCUGGGCUCAACCCAGAGUCUGCAUGAGAAACUGCCGGGCUUGAGUAUGGGAGAGGUGAGUGGAAUUUCCGGUGUAGCGGUGAAAUGCGUAGAUAUCGGAAGGAACACCUGUGGCGAAAGCGGCUCACUGGACCAUUACUGACGCUGAUGCACGAAAAGCUAGGGGAGCAAACAGGAUUAGAUACCCCCGUAGUCC
rnacentral:rRNA from 1 species